AUGGAUGUGGAUGAAGUGUUUGAAAUGGUUACAAGUGGUAUGACCCACGAAGAUAUAAGUAAUACACUCAAGACCCGCUUUCCAGGAAUAAGAGGCUUCUCUGCAAGAAGUGUUCGGCGAUUCUGCUCUGAAAAUGGCAUUCAUAAACCAGAUUCUGCUCAAGUAGAUGCUGUAGUCGAAUGUGCUGUUACUGAAGUUGGACAUGUGUAUGGCCGGAGAAUGUUAAAGGGUGUGCUUGAGUCUAAAGGUAUUAAGGUAUCUGAGAAAAGAGUUUCAGAGUCCUUACAGAGAGUGGCCCCUUUGCAAUAUGAUCAGCGGCGGAAUGACACCUUAGACCGUACUAAUCCACUGCAAUACUCGGCUCUCCACUUUGGGCAUAAACUUCAUAUUGACCAAAAUGAAAAGAUCACAAUGUUUGGUGCUACCCACAUAGUUGCAAGGGAUGGAUAUUCAGGCAAGAUAAUUGCUUACUGUACAAUGCCAGUCAAGAACAAUUUGGCUAUAUACGACAGUAUUUUGAGGUCAUCUACUAAAACGUAUGGUCUUUGGAAGCAAAUUCGAGUCGACCAUGGAAGAGAAUUUUAUCUUCUUUUGUAUGUACAAGAAGCACUUCGUUGUCGUGUUGGCCCUCGGGAUAUUCUUCCUUACGUUCAAUCUCCUUCAACAGAAAACCACACUGUUGAACGCAUUUGGGUUGAAGUAAAUUCUCGUAUUAACUACCCCCUAAAGCGACACUUGAUAUCAAUGGAAGCUACUAAUCUGAUUAACAUGAGUGAUGAAACUACAAAAUUUUGUGUUUCGUUUGUUACGUGCAAUGUUGCUUAUCAUGGAUUAUCAUUGUUUGUUGCAGCUUGGAAUCAUCAUUCUAUACCAGGUCGAGGAGUACCCAAUCAUUUGCAGGUGCAGCGUUAUGAAACUAUACCCAUUCCAGAUGGGGAAGUACCGGGUACUGAUGAAGCUGCAGAUGCAUACCGUUCUCAAGGUGGUCAGCUAAGAGAGUUUGGACUUUUUGGUUGCGAUCCACUCAAGGAUCGACAGGAUCUAAUUAUGAAAAGGGAGCAAUAUUUCCUCUCUCGCUGUCGUUUUGGGGACAUCUUUAGUAAUGUGGUAUCAGGAAAUGGACAAGCAUAUUCAUAUGCAAUUGCUGAGUUCAUUAGAAUAACGAACUCUCUAGAAGCUUAUCUAUAGUCUAAGAGCCAUUUUACUUGCUCAUAAUCCCUUUUCUAUCUAUGGUCUGUGUGUCUGUUCCAGCUGUAACUGCUCAACGGUUGCAAUGCGACGAAAACUAACAGCUUCUAGCCACGUUCUCUUGGAUUUUGAUUCGUGGAUUAGCAAACUAAAGCUUCUUUCUCGAGUUAUGGCUAGUUUGACUCACAUUGAAGGCUGUUGCAGUCUCUUCAGAAUCUUUCAUAGCAUCAUCUGUCCGCACAUACUUUCUAUUCAACAUAUGAGUUAGCCUUGCACUAAAGCGCUAGCUUUUUGUUAGCUACAAGACUCAGAAAAUAUCUGUUAAAACAGCUAGCUAGCAGUAGCCAUUGAUCUGUUUGGACACACCCUUUAUUAUUCCUGUGGAUGUAAUGCGCAUGCGCGCUCAUUCCCCACGUGUGAGAAAUCCAGAUCCAGAUCCUCCUGGCAGAAUCAUCUUUGUCUUGAGGGCCUGGUAAGCCACAAAACACUACCAUAUAACAAUAUAGAUAACAAUAUGCAUGUACACAGGUCUGAUAUUAUAUACACUGAACUACAGAUCCUGGAAGAAUCAAUUUUCUUCUUUCUUGAGGUCCUGGUAAGCCACAUAAUACAAUAAAUAACAACAAUAGAUGCAUGUAAAUAAGUCUUUUCUUCUCAGUGACUUUAUAUAGGUAAGCUAACUUUAAUAUAAAAUUCAUUAUAGAAACUAAUAUAACACUCUAAUACUUUUGAGCGAAAGCAAAAACAUGGCGAGAGGCAUUAGCACAGCGCCAGCUUUAACACUAGUUUUUCAGGCACAGCCACUAAAGGUCCCCUACUCUACACAGUCCAACCAAUGAGCCAGUAUUCUUGCAACCCGUACAUUGUUGGACCUAAACAACUAGUCUGUGCUCUCUACCAGCAAGGGGGUCUAUCCAAUCACACCAUCCGCUGGUUUAGAAGGUCUAACAACUCCGGUAUAUUUAAUAUUGAAACAGUGCCGAUAAAUGAAACCAUCUCAAGCAAUAAAGAAUAUUUAAUCUCAACACUUCCACUAAAAGAUGUAAUAGAAAAAGAAGGUCCGAGUGAUUAUUGGUGUCAGGUCGGAGUCUACGGAGAGGCUAAUUCGACCUAUGAACCCAGUGCAGUGUUUAAAGUGCUACCCCCUGAUGUGUAUAUUGGUUACCCCCCCUGUACGCAACUCUCCAUGUCUCAGCAGCUCUCAAUGUUUGCUGUCAAUGGAUCGCUUCUUAUGCCUGUGGGCAUCAUCGAAACCUCCCCCUCGAGUGAGCAGGAUCUCACACUGGUCUUGAUAGUGGGUAUAGUCAUCUCCUCAUUCUUUGUUGCCCUUCUCUCCUUGCUUAUCUGUAUAUCCUGCUGUGUUCUGAGAUCAAAGAGAAAGCUAUCAUCUGAAAUUAACAAUAUAAACGAACCCAUUCCAUCGCUGACAGUCAUCGGUAUCCAUGGCAACGAACCCUUGCAAUCGCUGACAGCCAUCCAUAUCCAUGGCAAUGAACCCACCCUCCCUCAAGAAAUGGAAAACUUGGAAGAUUACGUUGACGUUGGUGCCGAGGGAAUUUCCCCCCUAGACCACCCCUCACUAGCUAAUAAUACAGACCUUGCUCAUCCUCAAGACAACACUAUAGAGAUUCAUUAUCGCGCCAUUGAUGCUGACGGAAUGGACAAAAGUGAAUACACAGAUCGCCGAAAACCACCCCAUAUUUCUCCCAAACCUAGAGGAGUCAAAUCUCAAUCACUGAAUUGUCAGCGACCAUUUGCAGUAACAAGAAUUGGUGAUGGUGAAACAUCUAAACAAUAUAAAAAACCGCUACCACCACCGAAGAACAAAGACGAAAAUAGAGCUCCUACGCUCAAGGAUGAAUCACUGCUUCAAUCUCAAAGAAUUGAGCAACCUUCUAAACACUCUUAUCAGGAGCUCAGUUUAAACACGAAGGAUUAUACGGAAAUGUACACAUGUCCAGCAGAGCUAUCUGCCAGCUCUGACAGCAUUGUGUAUGCUAACUGAAUUAACUGUUGACUCUUUUUGGUAUCGUAAGUUUGUAACUGUCAUGUAUGACAUAAUAAUUAAUUUCAAAG